UGAAACUGACGUAAAUUCUUCAUACACUUCAUUGUCCAUAUCAGUGCUUCUAUCUCCGAGUGAAGAGGUGAGAAACUUGCCUGAAUGUUUCUUGCCCCCAUCAAACCCUCAAGAGUGCUAUACUAACCUUGUCCUGAAUAAGGCUCCUUCUCUUUCCACGAAUCAUCUAUAAAACACCAGCGUCCUGUGAUUUUUGGGAGUCGCCUAACCUCCACUUGUUGUGAUGCCUGAUGCAUGUUCAGCACAUGUGCCUCAACCUAAAGUGUGGAUUUUGUUUCCACCAGAUUGAGCAUCUCUCUGGGAUCAAUGAAAUUACUAAAAACUUUAGUAUUCAUUCCUUUCCAAAUGUACCAUAAUAUCCACGCAAAAUGAUGAUCUUCCAUUUUCGGGAGGACUUUCCAAAAACGAAGAUCCAUAUUUGUGAAGAGAAAACUAGUGGGGAAAAAGCUGGGUUAGAUGGUAACUUUGAUAGUGCCCAAACUUGAUGCGCUGGAGGACAUUAAAAAAAACACAUGAUUUAUUGAUUCCUCUUCAACUCUGCAUCUAGCACAACAAAUUUUCCUUGUAUUUCUCUCACUUUCAAAUUUUUCUUAACAGCUGCACCC
rnacentral:lncRNA from 1 species